UGUAGGGACGCCGGGGAGACCUGUAGGGACCCGGGGAAACCUGUAGGGACCCGGGGAAACCUGUAGGGACGCUGGGGAGAUCAAGGUCAGAAGAUGGUGAUGGUGAGCUUGCUUCUACUCUUCCCAUGAUGGCCAGUCAUCCUGAGACAGAAGCCGAAAACUUUUCAGAAGCUCCACAAACAGCUGUAGUACACAUGAUCCCUUCAACAGAAAAUUAUGCACUACCGUCUUCCACUGGAGAUGUAGGACAUCCCAAAGACCAGGUGUGUGAGGGAAAGCCAGAGCCCAGACUGCUGUACUGGGUUAUUUCUGUUUUGAACAGAAAUGGCCACAGAAAAAAAUGAGGACCUGGAGUGUGGCAAGACGGCCAGGUGAGACGGCUGCAGCUGGACGGGCAGAUGGACCAGGUGGGCUACCGACGUCGGUUGUAGGAGGACGGAGGUGGACUGGAGGUUUGGAGAUGGAGGACUGGCCCAAACUGGCCCAAAAGGAGUACUGCUGAUCUGGACGCCGCAGAGGAGCUGGAGCCCAGCUGGAAGAGCGGGAAUUGCGGGAUCGCAGCUGGAGGUCUGUUGGGAACCGGAGGAUCGGUCGGC